CAGAAUCUUCUCAGGUUUUGACCUGCCAUUUGAGUUCUGUUAUACUCACAGACACCAUUCAAACAGUUUUAGAAACUUUGGAGUGUUUUCUAUCCAAAGCCAAUAAUUACAUGCAUAUUCUAGUUACUGGGCAGGAGUAGUAACCAGAUUAAAUCGGGUACGUUUUUUAUCCAGCCGUGUCAAUACUGCCCCCUAGCCCUAACAGGUUAACCAGGAUGUGGGUAGGUUUCUGAGGUCUUAUUGCCAGGACCAGCCGGGGGAGUGGGCGGCGUUUGUGCCCUGGGCAGAGAUGGCCCAGAACUCGCUCCGCCACUCCUCCACUAACCUCUCUCCCUUCCAUUGCGUACUGGGCUAUCAGCCGGUUCUGGCUCCAUGGCAUCAGAGUCAGACCGAGGCUCCUGCGGUGGACGACUGGUUUCGGCACGUGGAGGAGACAUGGGACGCCGCUCAUGUUCACCUUCAGCGCGCCGUGCUGCGUCAGAAAGCCAGCGCAGACCGUCACCGCAGUGAGGCCCCGCCGUUCUUACCGGGGGACCGGGUUUGGCUCUCGACCCGAAACCUGCCCCUCCGGAAGCUGGGUCCACGGCCGGUGGUGGCUGGCCCGCUCCAGGAGUCUGAGUUGCGGGAGGUUCCUCCACCCCCUCUGGACAUCGAGGGGGCCCCGGCGUACUCCGUUUGAUCCAUACUGUAUUCGAGACGUUGGGUGAGGGGCCUUCAGUACCUCAUGGACUGGGAGGGGUACGGUCUGGAAGAGAGAUGCUGGGUUCCAGUGGAGGGCGUGUUGGACCCUUCAAUGCUGCAGGAGUUACACCGUCUCCGUCCGGAUCGCCCUGCACCUCGCCCUCCGUGUCGUCCCCGAGGCCGGUGUCGGCGCGCUGCUGGAGCCACGCGUCAAGGGGGGGGUGGUACUGUCACGACUUCCACUGAAGUCCUUUCCUCUCCUUGUUCGGGCGGCGUUCAGCGUCACCGGUCUUCUAGCCAUCGUCAAUCCACUUUUCAUUUUCCCUUUGUUUUGUCUUGUUUUCCUGGUUUCCAUUUCCCUCAUUAUUUGUUGUGUAUUUAACCCUCUGUUCCCCCCAUGUCUUUGUGUGGGAUUGUUUGUUGUAAGUGCCUGUUGCACUUGUUUACUGGUGCGCGUCGGGUUUUUGUACCCAUAUUCUGUUGUAUUUUAAUGCCGUUGGUUUUUGGAUUAAUCUGCUCCGGCUACAACCUAGUUCUGCUCUCCUGCGUCUGACUUCCCUGCCACCAGUUACGCACCCCUUUACAGGGUGCUAAGGGUUAGCUGCUCCCCUGCCUCCACAGUAGCAUGCCAAUCAAUCAUGUUUCCAUUGAGCUAAGUGAACCACAUUUAACCAUAACCUCUCUUACCUAAUUUCUUUCCCAACUUCGCUAUGACUAAAUGGGACUCUUCCAUAUCAAGUAACUCAAGCGAGCACUAAAAUCUGUUUUAAAAACAGAUAAAACAACACCUCAAGGUACAUUGCGGACUAUGAAGAGAUACGCACACACACACUAACACACGCAUUGUAAUGUUGUGGUAUUGUUAUGUUGUUGUGGCAUUGUUAUAUUGUGGAUCUUAUAUUGUAAAUGUGUAAUAAUGUAUUGUAUGAUUUGUUGUGUUUUGAUGUAACUUUUUUAACCCUGUUUGAACCCCAGGAAUAGCUAAUGGGGAUCCUAAUAAAUAAAAUAUCACAUUUAA
rnacentral:lncRNA from 1 species